UACAGAGGGUGCGAGCGUUGUCCGGAAUCACUGGGCGUAAAGAGCUCGUAGGCGGUCUGUCGCGUCUGCUGUGAAAACUCAGGGCUUAACCCUGAGCUUGCAGUGGGUACGGGCAGACUAGAGUGCGGUAGGGGAGACUGGAAUUCCGUGGGUGUAGCGGUGAAAUGCGCAGAUAUCAGGAGGAACACCGGUGGCGAAGGCGGGGUCUCUGGGCCGUAACUGACGCUGGAGGAGCGAAAGCAUGGGGAGC
rnacentral:rRNA from 1 species